GAUGAACGCUGGCGGCGUGCCUAAUACAUGCAAGUCGAGCGAACGGACGAGAAGCUUGCUUCUCUGAUGUUAGCGGCGGACGGGUGAGUAACACGUGGAUAACCUACCUAUAAGACUGGGAUAACUUCGGGAAACCGGAGCUAAUACCGGAUAAUAUUUUGAACCGCAUGGUUCAAAAGUGAAAGACGGUCUUGCUGUCACUUAUAGCUGGAUCCGCGCUGCAUUAGCUAGUUGGUAAGGUAACGGCUUACCAAGGCAACGAUGCAUAGCCGACCUGAGAGGGUGAUCGGCCACACUGGAACUGAGACACGGUCCAGACUCCUACGGGAGGCAGCAGUAGGGAAUCUUCCGCAAUGGGCGAAAGCCUGACGGAGCAACGCCGCGUGAGUGAUGAAGGUCUUCGGAUCGUAAAACUCUGUUAUUAGUGAAGAACAUAUGUGUAAGUAACUGUGCACAUCUUGACGGUACCUAAUCAGAAAGCCACGGCUAACUACGUG
rnacentral:rRNA from 1 species